CACGAACGCUGGCGGCAGGCCUAACACACGCACGUCGAAUGCCCCGCAAAGGGAGUGGCGCACGGGUGAGGAACGCGUGGGGCUCUGCUCUUCGGAUCGGGAUAACAACGGGACACUAGUGUUAAGACCGGAUACGACCGACGGCUGAAAGAUUCAAUGCCGAAGGAGUAGCCCGCGUAGGAUUAGCUAGGUGGUGAGGUAAGGGCUCACCAAGGCGACGACCCUUAGCUGGUCUGAGAGGAGGAUCAGCCACACUGGGGCUGAGACACGGCCCAGCCUCCUACGGGAGGCAGCAGUGGGGAAUAUUGGGCAAUGGGCGAAAGCCUGAUCCAGCCAUGCCGCGUAAGUGAUGAAGGCCUUAGGGUUGUAAAGCUCUUUCGCCAGGGAAGAUAAUGACGGCACCUGGACAAGAAGCCUCGGCUAACUCCGUGCCAGCCGCCGCGGUAA
rnacentral:rRNA from 1 species